rnacentral:rRNA from 1 species
CUCCUACGGGAGGCAGCAGUGGGGAAUAUUGCACAAUGGGGGAAACCCUGAUGCAGCGACGCCGCGUGGAGGAAGAAGGUCUUCGGAUUGUAAACUCCUGUUGUUGGGGAAGAUAAUGACGGUACCCAACAAGGAAGUGACGGCUAACUACGUGCCAGCAGCCGCGGUAAAACGUAGGUCACAAGCGUUGUCCGGAAUUACUGGGUGUAAAGGGAGCGCAGGCGGGAAGACAAGUUGGAAGUGAAAUCUAUGGGCUCAACCCAUAAACUGCUUUCAAAACUGUUUUUCUUGAGUAGUGCAGAGGUAGGCGGAAUUCCCGGUGUAGCGGUGGAGUGCGUAGAUAUCGGGAGGAACACCAGUGGCGAAGGCGGCCUACUGGGCACCAACUGACGCUGAGGCUCGAAAGUGUGGGUAGCAAACAGGAUUAGAUACCCUGGUAGUCCACACCGUAAACGAUGAUUACUAGGUGUUGGAGGAUUGACCCCUUCAGUGCCGCAGUUAACACAAUAAGUAAUCCACCUGGGGAGUACGACCGCAAGGUUGAAACUCAAAGGAAUUGACGGGGGCCCGCACAAGCAGUGGAGUAUGUGGUUUAAUUCGACGCAACGCGAAGAACCUUACCAAGUCUUGACAUCCCUUGACAGGCAUAGAAAUAUGUUUUCUCUUCGGAGCAAGGAGACAGGUGGUGCAUGGUUGUCGUCAGCUCGUGUCGUGAGAUGUUGGGUUAAGUCCCGCAACGAGCGCAACCCUUAUGGUCAGUUACUACGCAAGAGGACUCUGGCCAGACUGCCGUUGACAAAACGGAGGAAGGUGGGGAUGACGUCAAAUCAUCAUGCCCUUUAUGACUUGGGCUACACACGUACUACAAUGGCGUUAAACAAAGAGAAGCAAGACCGCGAGGUGGAGCAAAACUCAGAAACAACGUCCCAGUUCGGACUGCAGGCUGCAACUCGCCUGCACGAAGUCGGAAUUGCUAGUAAUCGUGGAUCAGCAUGCCACGGUGAAUACGUUCCCGGGCCUUGUACACACCGC